GCAAGACCAAAGAGGGGGACCUUCGGGCCUCUUGCCAUCAGAUGUGCCCAGAUGGGAUUAGCUAGUAGUGGGGUAACGGCUCACCUAGCGAAGAUCCCUAGCUGGUCUGAGAGGAUGACCAGCAACUGGAACUGAGACACGGUCCAGACUCCUACGGGAGGCAGCAGUGGGGAAUAUUUGCACAAUGGGCGCAAGCCUGAUGCAGCCAUGCCGCGUGUAUGAAGAAGGCCUUCGGGUUGUAAAGUACUUUCAGCGGGGAGGAAGGUGUUGUGGUUAAUAACCACAGCAAUUGACGUUACCCGCAGAAGAAGCACCGGUAACUCCGUGCCAGCAGCCGGGUAAUACGGAGGGUGCAAGCGUUAAUCCGGAAUUACUGGGGCGUAAAGCGCAACGCAAGGCGGGCCUGGUCAAGUCCGGAUUGUGAAAUCCCCCGGGGCUUCAACUGGGAACUGCAUUCCGAAAAUUGGGAAGGCUAAGUCUUGGUAAAGGGGGGGUAAAAAUUCCCAGGGUGUAACCGGUGAAAAUGGUAAAAUUCUCGAGGAUUACCCGGGUGGCAAAGCGGCCCCCUUGGGCAAAGAACUGGAAGCCUCAAGGUUGCGA
rnacentral:rRNA from 1 species